UACAGAGGGUGCAAGCGUUAAUCGGAAUUACUGGGCGUAAAGGGCGCGUAGGCGGGUUAGUAAGUUAGUUGUGAAAUCCCUGGGCUUAACCUAGGAACUGCAACUAAUACUGUUAAUCUAGAGUGCUGUAGAGGGUAGUGGAAUUUCCGGUGUAGCGGUGAAAUGCGUAGAUAUCAGGAAGAACACCCGUGGCGAAGGCGGCUCUCUGGGGAGCGGUACUGACGCUGAGACGCGAAAGCGUGGGGAGCGAACAGG
rnacentral:rRNA from 1 species